AGCGAACGCUGGCGGCAGGCCUAACACAUGCAAGUCGAGCGCCCCGCAAGGGGAGCGGCAGACGGGAGAGUAACACGUGGGAACGUACCCUUUGGUUCGGAACAACCCAGGGAAACUUGGGCUAAUACCGGAUAAGCCCUUACGGGGAAAGAUUCAUCGCCGAAGGAUCGGCCCGCGUCUGAUUAGCUAGUUGGUGGGGUAACGGCCCACCAAGGCGACGAUCAGUAGCUGGUCUGAGAGGAUGAUCAGCCUCACUGGGACUGAGACACGGCCCAGACUCCUACGGGAGGCAGCAGUGGGGAAUAUUGGACAAUGGGCGCAAGCCUGAUCCAGCCAUGCCGCGUGGGUGAUGAAGGCCCUAGGGUUGUAAAGCCCUUUCGGCGGGGAAGAUAAUGACGGUACCCGCAGAAGAAGCCCCGGCUAACUUCGUGCCAGCAGCCGCCGUAACAC
rnacentral:rRNA from 1 species